rnacentral:rRNA from 1 species
AGAGUUUGAUCCUGGCUCAGGAUAAACGCUGGCGGCGUGCCUAACACAUGCAAGUCGUACGCCCUCGUGCAAGCGAGGGAGUGGCGGACGGGUGAGUAACACGUGGGUGCAUCUCCCCAGAAGUGAGGAAUACCGGCGAGAAAUCGCCGACAAAACCGCAUACGCUCGGGCAACCGAGCAAAGCCCGCAAGGGCGCUUCU